UAACACAUGCAAGUCGAACGUGAAGCUGACUUCGGUUGGCGGAAAGUGGCGGACGGGUGAGUAACACGUAAGUAACCUGCCUCGGAGUGGGGGAUAACCAUUAGAAAUGAUGGCUAAUACCGCAUGGUUUUGCUAAGAUGGGAAUCUUGGCAAAUAAAGCUCAGGCGCUUUGAGAGGGGCUUGCGUCCGAUUAGUUAGUUGGUGGGGUAAAGGCCUACCAAGGCGAUGAUCGGUAGCUGGUCUGAGAGGACGAUCAGCCACACGGGAACUGAGACACGGUCCCGACUCCUACGGGGGGCAGCAGUGAGGAAUAUUCGUCAAUGGGGGCAACCCUGAACGAGCAACGCCGCGUGGAGGAAGAAGGCCUUGGGUUGUAAACUCCUUUCUGU
rnacentral:rRNA from 1 species